ensembl:snRNA U6 U6 spliceosomal RNA
GUGCUCCCACUGGCAGCACAUCUACUAAAACUGGAACGAUACAGAGAAGAUCAGCAUGGUCCCUGUGCAAGCAAGACACCCAAGUUCCUGAAGGGUUCCGUAUUUUU